AUACUUACCUGGCAGGGGAGACACCAUGAUCAAGAAGGCGGUUCACCCAGGGCGAGGCUCGGCCAUUGCACCGGACGCAGUUGACCCCCGCGAAUUCCCCCAAAUGUGGGAAUCUCGACUGCAUAAUUUAUGGUAGUGGGGAUCAUGCUCGCGCCUCCCUG